UUUAAAGAGAGUUUGAUCCUGGCUCAGGACGAACGCUGGCGGCGUGCCUAAUACAUGCAAGUCGAACGAACGGAGGAAGAGCUUGCUCUUCCAAAGUUAGUGGCGGACGGGUGAGUAACACGUGGGCAACCUGCCUGUAAGUUGGGGAUAACUCCGGGAAACCGGGGCUAAUACCGAAUAAUAAGUGGUGGCGCAUGCCGCGGCUUUGAAAGAUGGUUUCGGCUAUCGCUUACAGAUGGGCCCGCGGUGCAUUAGCUAGUUGGUAGGGUAAUGGCCU
rnacentral:rRNA from 1 species